rnacentral:lncRNA from 1 species
ACUUGGGCCCUUUCAACUUUCCCUCUGGUCCUUCAAUGUUAACAUCAGGGCCUUCAACGUCCACUUUGGGGCCUGAGACAUCAACGUCAGCCUUGGGCAGGUUCACAUCCACUUCAGGGCCCUCUGCUUUGAAGCCAGGCAUGCUGAACUUGGGCAUUUUCAUCUUGGGCAUCUUCAGGUGCCAGUCUGGGCCAUGAACAUC